rnacentral:lncRNA from 1 species
AUGCUUACAGCCAGAUUCCUCCUUGGUAGUUGAAAGUGACCCUAAUAUCAUAGUAGAUGCAUCCUGUGAGUUGCAUUUAAUUGUCACCCUGUUUGCCCCUUGUAUGACUCUAUUAGCAAAACCCAUGAGGAGUCAAGUGGGGCUUAUCCUUUGCAGUCAGUAAGUAAUUAGCAAAUGUAAGAAUAAGGCAGAGGUGAAACAAACAAACAAAAAAACACAGGGUUCCCAGAGUUUCAAUAGGUCAUGCUAGGGAUUUCUAACUCACAUUUUGUUCUCUACCACUCUCUAGGAGGGUUUCUUUGCUCCUUAAGCCUCGGAAACUGCUAAGCAGAAUAAGAGAUUCUGUUUGGAGAUCUUAUCUUCUUGCCUCCUUUUUGGGUGUCCCUUUUUUCUUCUCUCUCACCAGCCUGGCAUUCCUCCUCCAUACCUCUUAAGUGCCAGAUUCUGUCAUCCUGGAUGGAGUGCAAAAGCUACAGUGUAAUCUCACAUUCUUUCAGGGCCACUGACCAGAGGAAACACAAGCUAGCCCGACCAGCCUCUCCUGAUGCUGACCAGCCAAUGGCCCUGCAGUUUCCUCUGUGUUUAGAAUUCCUUAUCUGGCAUUGCUAGCAAAUGCUCAAGCCCACAAGUCAACUAGAAGCUUAUCUGUAGGGCUGGAGCUUCAAAGAGAUAGCCAUACACUGUUCCUUGGGGUCAGAGGCUCUGUGACAGUGUGAGAUGGGAGGCUUUUGGGAUCAGUCAAUUUAACACGGGUAACACAACUCAUUCACUUCUUUUGUUUUGAAACAGGGUUCAUUGCUUUCACUUUUCUCAUUUGAGGAACACCUCUUGGUAUAUUAGUACAAGAAAAGUGGGGACAAUUUAACAGGAAGUGGAAAGAACACAUUCCCUAAAGACUGUUGUUACUGGCUUUUCUAUAUGAAUGUUGGCCAGCCAUUGUUUCAUAUUUGUUACUAUGUUAUUAUUAUUUUGGUGUUGCUGGGAUUCU